rnacentral:rRNA from 2 species
UUAGGUCAAGCUAAAAAGAGCGCAGGGUGGAUGCUUGGCACUAAGAGCCGAUGAAAGACGUGAUAAGCUGCGAUAAGCUACGGGGAGGAGCACAUAUCCAUUGAUCCGUAGAUUUCUGAAUGGGGAAACCCGGCUGAGCAUACCUCAGUCACCGUACACUGAAUCCAUAGGUGUACGGAGGGAACCCGGUGAACUGAAACAUCUAAGUAGCCGGAGGAAGAGAAAGAAAACUCGAUUUUCAAAGUAGCGGCGAGCGAAAUGGAAAGAGCCCAAACCGGAGUGCGUGCACUCCGGGGUUCGGACUGCAUUUAUGACUUCUGACUGUAGCGGAACGGUUCUGGAAAGACCGGCCAGAGAGGGUGAGAGCCCCGUAGGCGAAACGGAAGGAAGCAGAGCAGGAUCCAGAGUACCACGAGACACGAGAAACCUUGUGGGAAUGAGCGGGGACCACCCCGUAAGGCUAAAUACUCCUUAGUGACCGAUAGAGCAGAGUACUGUGAAGGAAAGGUGAAAAGGACCCCGGGAGGGGAGUGAAAGAGAACCUGAAACCCUGUGUUUACAAACUGUGGAAGUACCAUAUGAGUACAACCGCGUACUUUUUGUAGAACGGUCCGGCGAGUUACGUUUACUGGCGAGGUUAAGCACUUAAGGUGCGGAGCCGAAGGGAUACCAAGUCUUAACAGGGCGUUAAGUCAGUGUACGUAGACCCGAAACCGGGUGAUCUACCCAUGUCCAGGCUGAAGUUGCCGUAAAAGGCAAUGGAGGGCCGAACGCACAUCCGUUGAAAAGGGUGGCGAUGAGGUGUGGGUAGGGGAGAAAUUCCAAUCGAACCCGGAGAUAGCUGGUUCUCCUCGAAAUAGCUUUAGGGCUAGCCUCGUGUUAACCUUGUGGAGGUAGAGCACUGAAUAUCCUAGGGGGCGUCAAAGUCUACCGAAGAUUAUCAAACUCCGAAUGCCAUAGAGGUGAUGCACGGGAGUCAGACUGCACGAGAUAAGUUGGGUGGUCAAAAGGGAAAGAGCCCAGACCUACAGCUAAGGUCCCAAAGUGCGUGUUAAGUGGAAAAGGAUGUGGGAUUUCGAAGACAACUAGGAUGUUGGCUCAGAAGCAGCCAUACAUUCAAAGAGUGCGUAAUAGCUCACUAGUCGAGAGGUCCUGCGCCGAAAAUGUCCGGGGCUGAAACACGACACCGAAGCUUAGGAGGCCGAAUAUCCAAGGUUUCCAGAGUAAAGCUGAUCUGCUCUGGGUAAGUCGGGGCCUAAGGCGAGGUCGAAAGACGUAGUCGAUGGAUAACAGGUGGAGAUUCCUGUACUAUGUGUACCCAGAACUGUGGGGACGCAUGUGGAGAGCAUGAGCCGGGAAAGAGAAGACCGGUACAAGCGGGGUAGGAGUAAGGACAGCAAAUCUUCCUUACAAUCCGAAGACGUGAUGUGGACCGAACCAAAGUAGGGAAGCAUGUGAGCCAUGUGCCAAGAAAAGCCGCUAUUGUGAUACACAUACCCGUACCGUAAACCGACACAGGUGGAUGAGGAGAGAAUCCUAAGGCCGACGGAAGAAGCAUUGUUAAGGAACUCGGCAAAAUGACCCCGUAACUUCGGGAGAAGGGGUGCCCUGUGAAAGCAGGGCCGCAGAGAAUAGGCUCAAGCAACUGUUUAGCAAAAACACAGGUCUAUGCGAAACCGAAAGGUGAGGUAUAUGCUGACGCCUGCCCGGUGCUGGAAGGUUAAGAGGAGAAGUCAGGCAACGAAGCUUCGAAUUUAAGCCCCAGUAAACGGCGGCCGUAACUAUAACGGUCCUAAGGUAGCGAAAUUCCUUGUCGGGUAAGUUCCGACCCGCACGAAAGGCGUAAUGAUUUGAGCACUGUCUCGACAAUGCAUCCGGUGAAAUUGAAGUACCAGUGAAGAUGCUGGUUACCUGCGCCAGGACGGAAAGACCCCAUGGAGCUUUACUCCAGCUUGAUACUGGGAUUCGAUACUGUAUGUACAGGAUAGGUGGGAGACGUUGAACAUAGAACGCCAGUUUUAUGUGAGUCGCUGUUGGGAUACCACCCUUGCAGUAUUGGAUUUCUAACCUGCACCCAUGACCUGGGUGGGGGACAAUGUCUGGCGGGGAGUUUGACUGGGGCGGUCGCUCCGAAAGGGUAUCGGAGGCGCUCAAAGGUUCCCUCAGAAUGGUUGGAAACCAUUCGAAGAGUGCAAAGGCAGAAGGGAGCUUGACUGUGACACCGACGGGUGGAACAGGUACGAAAGUAGGACUUAGUGAUCCGGUGGUAUAAAGUGGGAUUGCCAUCGCUCAACGGAUAAAAGCUACCCUGGGGAUAACAGGCUUAUCACUCCCAAGAGUUCACAUCGACGGAGUGGUUUGGCACCUCGAUGUCGGCUCAUCGCAUCCUGGGGCUGUAGCAGGUCCCAAGGGUUGGGCUGUUCGCCCAUUAAAGCGGUACGCGAGCUGGGUUCAGAACGUCGUGAGACAGUUCGGUCCCUAUCCGGCGCAGGCGGAGGAUAUUUGAGAGGAGCUGUCCUUAGUACGAGAGGACCGGGAUGGACGGACCACUGGUGUAUCUGUUGGCUAUCGGAGCCAUGGCAGAGUAGCCAAGUCCGGCAGGGAUAAACGCUGAAGGCAUCUAAGCGUGAAGCCCCCCUCAAGAUGAGAUAUCCCUCAGAAAUGAGUAAGACCCCUUGAAGACUACGAGGUAGAUAGGAAUGAGGUGUAAGCACAGCAAUGUGUUCAGCUGACAUUUACUAAUCGGUCGAGGGCUUGACCAAA